AUUGAACGCUGGCGGCAGGCUUAACACAUGCAAGUCGAGCGGGGUGAUGGUGCUUGCACUAUCACUUAGCGGCGGACGGGUGAGUAAUGCUUAGGAAUCUGCCUAUUAGUGGGGGACAACAUCUCGAAAGGGAUGCUAAUACCGCAUACGUCCUACGAGAGAAAGCAGGGGAUCACUUGUGACCUUGCGCUAAUAGAUGAGCCUAAGUCGGAUUAGCUAGUUGGUGGGGUAAAGGCCUACCAAGGCGACGAUCUGUAGCGGGUCUGAGAGGAUGAUCCGCCACACUGGGACUGAGACACGGCCCAGACUCCUACGGGAGGCAGCAGUGGGGAAUAUUGGACAAUGGGGGGAACCCUGAUCCAGCCAUGCUGCGUGUGUGAAGAAGGCCUUAUGGUUGUAAAGCACUUUAAGCGAGGAGGAGGCUCUUUUGGUUAAUACCCAAGAUGAGUGGACGUUACUCGCAGAAUAAGCACCGGCUAACUCUGUGCCAGCCGCCGCAGUAA
rnacentral:rRNA from 1 species